CAGUCGCCACGGGAAUACGUAGGGUGCGAGCGUUAAUCGGAAUUACUGGGCGUAAAGCGUGCGCAGGCGGUUCGUUAAGACAGAUGUGAAAGCCCUGGGCUCAACCUAGGAAUUGCAUUUGAUACUGUUUGGCUUGAGUUCGGGAGAGGUGAGUGGAAUUCCCAGUGUAGAGGUGAAAUUCGUAGAUAUUGGGAAGAACACCAGUGGCGAAGGCAGCUCACUGGACCGACACUGACGCUGAGGCGCGAAAGCGUGGGGAGCAAACAGGAUUAGAUACCCGGGUAGUCCCUGUCUCUUAUAC
rnacentral:rRNA from 1 species